UACAGAGGUGGCAAGCGUUUGUUCGGAAUUACUGGGCGUAAAGGGCGCGUAGGCGGCCUUUUUUUUUUUUUUUUUCUAAGCAGACGUGAAAUCCCCGCUUAACCUGGGAACUGCGUCUGAUACUGGGGAGGCUUGAGUAUGGGAGAGGGAUGUAGAAUUCCAGGUGUAGCGGUGAAAUGCGUAGAUAUCUGGAGGAAUACCGGUGGCGAAGGCGGCAUCCUGGACCUAACUGACGCUGAGGCGCGGAAAGCUAGGGGAGCAAACGGGGGAUUAGAAAACCC
rnacentral:rRNA from 1 species